rnacentral:rRNA from 1 species
GCCGCGGUAAUACGGAGGGUGCAAGCGUUAAUCGGAAUUACUGGGCGUAAAGCGCGCGUAGGUGGCUUGAUAAGCCGGUUGUGAAAGCCCCGGGCUCAACCUGGGAACGGCAUCCGGAACUGUCAGGCUAGAGUGCAGGAGAGGAAGGUAGAAUUCCCGGUGUAGCGGUGAAAUGCGUAGAGAUCGGGAGGAAUACCAGUGGCGAAGGCGGCCUUCUGGACUGACACUGACACUGAGGUGCGAAAGCGUGGGUAGCAAACAGGAUUAGAUACCCUGGUAGUCCACGCCGUAAACGAUGUCGACCAGCCGUUGGGUGCCUAGCGCACUUUGUGGCGAAGUUAACGCGAUAAGUCGACCGCCUGGGGAGUACGGCCGCAAGGUUAAAACUCAAAUGAAUUGACGGGGGCCCGCACAAGCGGUGGAGCAUGUGGUUUAAUUCGAUGCAACGCGAAGAACCUUACCUACCCUUGACAUCCUGCGAACCCGGAAGAGAUUCCGGGGUGCCUUCGGGAACGCAGAGACAGGUGCUGCAUGGCUGUCGUCAGCUCGUGUUGUGAAAUGUUGGGUUAAGUCCCGUAACGAGCGCAACCCUUGUCCUUAUUUGCCAGCGAGUAAUGUCGGGAACUCUAAGGAGACUGCCGGUGACAAACCGGAGGAAGGUGGGGACGACGUCAAGUCAUCAUGGCCCUUACGGGUAGGGCUACACACGUGCUACAAUGGCCGGUCCAAAGGG